GUGAGGAAUAUUGGACAAUGGGCGCAAGCCUGAUCCAGCCAUGCCGCGUGCAGGAAGACGCAUCUAUGGUGUGUAAACUGCUUUUGUACGGGAAGAAACACUCCCUCGUGAGGGAGCUUGACGGUACCGUAAGAAUAAGGAUCGGCUAACUCCGUGCCAGCAGCCGCGGUAAUACGGAGGAUCCAAGCGUUAUCCGGAAUCAUUGGGUUUAAAGGGUCCGUAGGCGGUUUAAUAAGUCAGUGGUGAAAGCCCAUCGCUCAACGAUGGAACGGCCAUAGAUACUGUUAGACUUGAAUUACAAGGAAGUAACUAGAAUAUGUAGUGUAGCGGUGAAAUGCUUAGAUAUUACAUGGAAUACCAAUUGCGAAGGCAGGUUACUACUUGUGGAUUGACGCUGAUGGACGAAAGCGUGGGGAGCGAACAGGAUUAGAAACCCGGGUAGUCC
rnacentral:rRNA from 1 species